CUAUGAUGUUUCUAUAUAUCGAUUUGAGAAAAAGAGAGAGAUAGUGACGAAAGCAAAAGAUAAAUGGCGCAACGAAUAUCUUGUUCCUCAUCAACAACCUCCUUCAACUUCAAAUCCAUUUCCUUUUCGAAAUUCCCUUUCUCACCAUUCUUAGCUUCAUUUCCAAACCCUAAUUCUAUUUCCAGCACCGUUCGAAUCACUCUCUGCAAUGCCUCAAACUCAAAACCACAGAACAAAUAUUCUUCACCUUCAUCAUCAACCACAAAAAAGAAGAAAAAGAAAUCCACAACCGUUUCCGACCCUUUAAAUUUCACUGAUUUUGAAAUCUUGCAAGAUUUUCCCGCCGGCGUUGAUGUCAGUGUCCACGAUGAUGAUGCUACGGAUAACAUUCCAGAAUCUUCUUUGGCUCACUCUUCUAGUUCUUUGCCGCUUCCUGAACCUCCCGCUGGAUUCGUUCUUGAUGGUAAUGGCAACGUUGUUCAAGCUUUAAUUGAUCGACUUGUCACUAUUGUGUGGUAACUUAGCGUAACCGCAACGACGAUUUCAGUUUAAAACUGUGCUGUCUAAAUGCAGAUCCAUUUUCUAUUUCAGCUGCUUAUUGUCACUCCAUUUUCAAGGGUUUUGGAAAUGAAGCCUCGAGCACCAUUAAUUUGCUUCUUAAUUUUGUUAAGUGCUUUAAUUUAUACUUGUCACCGUUGUUCUAUGAAGCAUGCAUAGUUCCAUGUAGUCAUCAUAUCCUUAGCGGACAUUUUGAACAUCUUGGAACACUUCUUAUUGUUCUUUACAAUUUACUUUUACUUUUAAAAUUUUCAUACCAUUAUAGAUGGAAAUGUCAUAUUAAGUGCAUUGCUUUUAAGCACUCUAUUAUAUUUAUAAUGACUCAAACUAACUGCCUAAUUUAAUAUUUGUUCUUAUAAGUUAAUUUUGCACUAAUUUUAUAUUUUUAUGCCAUUUCCUAUAAUUUUUAAAAGUUGUUCCAUUCCUUAGGUCAUAUCAUUUUGUAUCCAUUCUUCCUAGCUGUAGGUUGUAUCAUGCGGAAAAUAGGCAAAAAAACAGAAUAUCUUUCUCUGGGUUUGUAUCUCUAUUGUGUUGUCUCAUUGUAUUCCUCAUAUCUAUAAAUUCUGAACAAGUUCUUAACAGGUUGAUCCCACAAAUAACCUUCCAUUAGAAUGUGUGGUAAGGAGAGUGUUCAGAAGUUCCGAAGGACAUGACUGUAUGUUGCUCUGCCCAGUUGACACGCCUAUCCAAAUAUUAAAGAGCACAAAUGUGGAUGGAUGGUCAGCUGUCAGUGAUAAGGAAGUUGAAUCUAUUCUGCCUGCUGCAGCUUAUGCACUUGCCAAGAUACACAUGCAUCUUGUUUAUAGUGGAUACUGUUAUACAGCACGUGGUGGUUUUUGCUACACGGAAGAAGACAUAUUUGACUUUCACACAGAUGAGGGUAAAGGAGUGGAUGGCUUGCCAACUGAAGCUAUAGAAAUUACAUAUUUCGAUCUGGAAGGUGCACAAUACAUGAUUUAUACGCCAUCUGAUCCACAUAUUUUUGUUGCCGUGAAGGAUCAGAAUGGGAUGUUGCAAGUUGCUGAUGAUGAACUGCUUGAGGAUCCUGCUAUCUUUGAUGCCAUAGAUGAGGAAACUGAAUUUAAUGCCUUAGCGGUGUGUGGUUUGUUCUUCCAAAUUAACAUUUUUGUUGUUAUUAAGUUUGACCCUAUUCAAUUAUGUAUAUUGUGAUGUCUUACCCCAGGAAGAAGAAGCUGCAUUUCUUGAAUUGGUGGUAGAUGGGUGAAAAGAUAAGCAA
rnacentral:lncRNA from 1 species